GAUGAAUAUUGCUGCAGUCACCUAUUUCAUUAAACAGGAUAAAUCAAUCCCCCUGCGUCUCUCCUGGAGCCCAUCAGCUGGCUUCUUGGUGGGGAGGACUUGUAAUGGAUGAAGAAACUCCUAACAUGAGCACUUGAAGGAUUACAUAUGGUGCUUGUCAGCAACUACCAGAAUUUCUAUUACAGUCAGCUUUCAUUUUAUUGAAAUAUUUGUGCAGAAUAAUACAACACCGAAGCAUGACAUGAUUCCAUCUUAAUCCUGCUGUGUGGAAAGACUUCGAGAAAGCACUGAACACACUACAUGAAAGGAGUUUUGGUCUGAUGU